CACGCCCUCUGGGGGAAACAGCAUUAGGUCAAUGAUGUUUAGAUAAAUGGAUUUCAAGUGGGCGUCAGUCGGGCUGGGUGACAGAAAGAAAAGGUUGUUACCAGGUUUUGGAACCUGGGACCUCAAACACGGGAACACGCCAACAAAACCACGUGACGCUUUAAUGGGAAAAA